rnacentral:rRNA from 1 species
CAGUCGCGUUGGCUAGAAAUCAACAUUGCUCUUGCUUUGUGUAUUUUCUGGUUGACGGGUCAGCAUCAAUUUUGACCGUUGGAGAAAGGCUUUGGGAAUGUGGCACCUUAGGGUGUGUUAUAGCCCUUUGUUGUAUACGGUGGUUGGGAUUGAGGAACUCAGCACGCCGCAAGGCCGGGUUUCGACCACGUUCGUGCUUAGGAUGCUGGCAUAAUGGCUUUAAACGACCCGUCUUGAAACACGGACCAAGGAGUCUAACAUAUAUGCG